CCUCCAUCCAGAACAUUGGGACCAAACAUGGAGGACAUGCAUGCCUCCCUUCAGCUUUUAAUCUUUUGGAAAGAUCACCUGAAAGAAUGCAUGGCAUGAUUUUGGAAACCACUGUUGACUUGUAUGCAAGUCAGAACAUAAUGCAGGACAAUAUAACAUAGUGGUUGGAAGACAUGCAACACCGAUCCUUCAAAGACUAAGCCUUGAGGAGAACCUAGAUCCUACUCUACUCCAACACACUAGGAUUGUAGAGAGAUGAAAAAUUCUGACAGGUUGUUUAGCCAAACCCAUGCAGAGGAUCAUACUUGGCUGUAGUUGUGAACCUUCUCAGCUCAACUGAAUUUUCUUAUGCCAGCAGAUUUUGUCACACCCGCUGGAACAGGAAGAGAAUGUGUAAUUUCGCAUAUCAUCCAAAUGAUAGCGCUUCCAGAAAGAAUACCGCCUCACAAUUGCCUUGAAGGGCAUUCUGGAAAACGCUGGA